rnacentral:rRNA from 1 species
CGCGGCCUAUCAGCUUGUUGGUGGGGUAACGGCCUACCAAGGCAUCGACGGGUAGCUGGUCUGAGAGGACGAUCAGCCACACUGGGACUGAGACACGGCCCAGACUCCUACGGGAGGCAGCAGUGGGGAAUAUUGCGCAAUGGGCGAAAGCCUGACGCAGCAACACCGCGUGGGGGAUGACGGCCUUCGGGUUGUAAACCCCUUUCAGCAGGGACGAAAAUGACGGUACCUGCAGAAGAAGCCCCGGCCAACUACGUGCCAGCAGCCGCGGUAACACGUAGGGGGCAAGCGUUGUCCGGAUUUAUUGGGCGUAAAGAGCUCGUAGGCGGUUGCGUAAGUCGGAUGUGAAAACUCAGGGCUCAACCCGGAGACGCCAUCCGAUACUGCGCUGACUAGAGUCCGGUAGAGGAGCAUGGAAUUCCUGGUGUAGCGGUGAAAUGCGCAGAUAUCAGGAGGAACACCAGUGGCGAAGGCGGUGCUCUGGGCCGGCACUGACGCUGAGGAGCGAAAGCGUGGGUAGCGAACAGGAUUAGAUACCCUGGUAGUCCACGCCGUAAACGUUGGGCACUAGGUGUGGGGCCUCCUUAACGGGUUCCGUGCCGUAGCUAACGCAUUAAGUGCCCCGCCUGGGGAGUACGG